UUCCUCCUUUGUGGAGUUUUCUCUGUUAGCCUUUAUCUUUGGGAACAGAAUGGAGACUUUAUUACAUUCUGAAGGAUGCUGAAAGGAGACUUCAUCACUCCCUACAAUUCCAUGAAAGGAGGUUGUAGCGAGGUAGUGGUCAGCAUCUUCUCCCAAGCAAUAAGCAAUAGGAUAAGAGUAUGUCAGCUGUUUCAAAGCAACCCCACCAGCUAGGGGACGGGGCCGAAGCGCUGGAACGUCAUCAGACCGCCGCAGCACUCACCGACCUCCUCCAGACCCUGCCUCUCUGGGCCUCGUGGGGUCCCGGGGCUGCUCCCCCCUCUCAGAACCGCCCU